rnacentral:rRNA from 1 species
GCGAACGCUGGCGGCGUGCUUAACACAUGCAAGUCGAACGGUAAGGCCCCUUCGGGGGUACCCGAGUGGCGAACGGGUGAGUAACACGUGAGCAACCUGCCCUUGACUCUGGAAUAACAGUUGGAAACAGCUGCUAAUACUGGAUAUUCAUCGUCUCCUUCCUGGGGGGUGGUGGAAAGCUCCGGCGGUCAGGGAUGGGCUCGCGGCCUAUCAGCUUGUUGGUGAGGUAAUGGCUCACCAAGGCUUCGACGGGUAGCCGGCCUGAGAGGGCGACCGGCCACACUGGGACUGAGAUACGGCCCAGACUCCUACGGGAGGCAGCAGUGGGGAAUAUUGCACAAUGGGCGCAAGCCUGAUGCAGCAACGCCGCGUGCGGGAUGACGGCCUUCGGGUUGUAAACCGCUUUCAGUAGGGACGAAGGGUGACUGACGGUACCUACAGAAGAAGGACCGGCUAACUACGUG